rnacentral:lncRNA from 1 species
UCUGGUUCUCUCUAGAACCUUCCCCCAUCCCCUACUCUCCGAUGAAUCCUUUUUACCUCAUCCGACAACUCUCUAACCUAGAUCCAUGGUGGUUUUAUCACCCACCAAGCCACCUAUGGCUCCUAACAUUUGGUUAACUGAAGCUCCAUGACUCGACCAUGAAGGGUUGUGUCCAGACCUCUAUCAAUUCGAGUUCCACCACAAUCUCUGACCCUGUUCCGGCUAGCUAUGUCUAUUUUGAAGCUUGUUCUAGACUCUGCUUCCUUAGAUCCAAGCCUCUCUCAUUAUUUGGAUUUCUCUAAAAACCCUAGUUUUGAGGUUUUUCGGAUCUAUUUAGACCUGUUCCAGAUCCA